rnacentral:rRNA from 1 species
ACUCCUACGGGAGGCAGCAGUGGGGAAUUUUGCGCAAUGGGGGAAACCCUGACGCAGCAACGCCGCGUGGAGGAUGAAGUCCUUCGGGACGUAAACUCCUUUCGAUCGGGACGAUUAUGACGGUACCGGAAGAAGAAGCCCCGGCUAACUUCGUGCCAGCAGCCGCGGUAAUACGAGGGGGGCGAGCGUUGUUCGGAAUUAUUGGGCGUAAAGGGUGCGUAGGCGGUUUGGUAAGUCUGAUGUGAAAUCUAUGGGCUCAACUCAUAGUCUGCAUCGGAAACUGCCGGGCUUGAGUGUGGGAGAGGUGAGUGGAAUUCCUGGUGUAGCGGUGAAAUGCGUAGAUAUCAGGAGGAACACCUGUGGCGAAAGCGGCUCACUGGACCACAACUGACGCUGAUGCACGAAAGCUAGGGGAGCAAACAGGAUUAGAUACCCUGGUAGUCCUAGCCCUAAACGAUGACUGCUUGGUGUGACGGGUACCCAAUCCCGCCGUGCCGUAGCUAACGCGUUAAGCAGUCCGCCUGGGGAGUACGGUCGCAAGGCUGAAACUUAAAGGAAUUGACG